CCUACGGGAGGCAGCAGUAGGGAAUAUUGCUCAAUGGGGGAAAGCCUGAAGCAGCAACGCCGCGUGGAGGAUGAAGGUUUUCGGAUCGUAAACUCCUGUUGUUAGAGAAGAUAGUGACGGUAUCUAACGAAUAAGCACCGGCUAACACCGUCCCAGCAGCCGCGGUAAUACGGAGGGUGCAAGCGUUACUCGGAAUCACUGGGCGUAAAGAGCGCGGAGGCGGGAUAGCAAGUCAGAUGUGAAAUCCUAUGGCUUAACCAUAGAACUGCAUUUGAAACUGUUAUUCUAGAGUAUGUGAGAGGUAGGUGGAAUUCCUGGUGUAGGGGUAAAAUCCGUAGAGAUCAAGAGGAAUACUCAUUGCGAAGGCGACCUGCUAGAACAUAACUGACGCUGAUGCGCGAAAGCGUGGGGAGCAAACAGGAUUAGAUACCCUUGUAGUC
rnacentral:rRNA from 1 species